CAAUAAGCGGAGGAAAAGAAACCAACAGGGAUUACCUCAGUAACGGCGAGUGAAGCGGUAAAAGCUCAAAUUUGAAAUCUGGCUCUUUUAGAGUCCGAGUUGUAAUUUGUAGAAGAUGCUUCGGGUGUGGUUCCGGUCUAAGUUCCUUGGAACAGGACGUCAUAGAGGGUGAGAAUCCCGUAUGUGACUGGAUACCUAUGCUCAUGUGAAGCUCUUUCGACGAGUCGAGUUGUUUGGGAAUGCAGCUCAAAAUGGGUGGUAUAUUUCAUCUAAAGCUAAAUAUUGGCCAGAGACCGAUAGCGCACAAGUAGAGUGAUCGAAAGAUGAAAAGCACUUUGGAAAGAGAGUUAAACAGUACGUGAAAUUGUUGAAAGGGAAGCGCUUGCAAUCAGACUUGCACUUGGUGUUCAUCGGGGUUUCUACCCCGUGUACUUCAUCAAGUUCAGGCCAGCAUCAGUUUGGGUGGUUAGAUAAAGGCUUAGAGAAUGUGGCCCUCUUCGGGGGGUGUUAUAGCUCUAGGUGCAAUGUAGCCUACCUGGACUGAGGACCGCGCUUCGGCUAGGAUGCUGGCGUAAUGGUUGUAAGCGACCCGUCUUGAAACACGGACCAAGGAGUGUACCUAAUAUGCGAGUGUUUGGGUGUUAAACCCAUACGCGUAAUGAAAGUGAACGGAGGUGAGAGCCCUUAAGGGUGCAUCAUCGACCGAUCCUGAUGUCUUCGGAUGGAUUUGAGUAAGAGCAUAUUGGGUGCGACCCGAAAGAUGGUGAUCUAUACGUGAAUAGGGUGAAGCCAGAGGAAACUCUGGUGGAGGCUCGCAGCGGUUCUGACGUGCAAAUCGAUCGUCAAAUUUGCGUAUAGGGGCGA
rnacentral:rRNA from 1 species